GUUUGAACAGCAGCAACAGUUACAGAGCCAUUUGUAAGAGAGGAUCAUGGAAUGAAUACGGGCAUUGAGUCAAGCAGUCUGUGUUCCACUGGCGGUGUGACCUGGGGCAGGCCAUUUCACCUCACUGAGCCUUAGUUUCCUCACCUGUAAAAUGUGAAAAAUAUCACCUUCCUUACCAGGCUUUUCUGAGGAUUUAAUGACAUCAUGUUCAGUGCCCAGUAUGGGUGGAUAAUACCCAGGAGUUUCCUCCUCUUCUCCUCCUAAGUUGACUUGAUGCCCCCCGCUGAAGAUCAUGGCUGAACUGGCUCAAUUCGGAUCCAGGACUCCUGGCUUUGUCUCUUCCCUAGUUGCCCACCACACCCAUGGACACCCUUAGGUAGUUUAUCCUUUUGGGACAACUGGAUUUAUUAGAAAAGGGUAUUCUGGGGUGGAAUAAGGCCCUUUUCAGUCCCCAUGGAGCCUUUUUGGAAGAUGAAGUUCUCAAACCCACAAGAGAAUUCAUAAGACGAGCACACCACCCACAGUUAGGUUUCCCUCUCAAGUGCUUUAUCUCCACGUGGGGCAAAUAGCUCUUUGUCUGCAUAUGUUAUUGGAGCUUUUGGAGUCCAGCCUUCAGAAGAGCUCUAAUUUUUGGAUUCAUAUCAGUUUAUUAGAGAAGCCUAGUUCUAAGGAUUAGCAAAUGGGUAGGUGCUCAGCCAGCCCAGAACAAGCAGAGCCAUGACAGAAGUUUCUGGAAUCUCACAGAGUCGGUGUCUUCAUGGACUCAGGGGGCCUAAAUCCAAUAGCCUGGAUUUGUCACUUUCCCUUAUUCCCUUAUCAAACUCUUCCCUUUUGGACAUCAGAGAAGGAAAGUACUUCCUGUAAGGGGGCAAUUUGCAAAGCUUCAUGGAAGUGGCAUUUGAGUGUGGCCUUAAAGGAUGUGUAGGAUUGGGAACCAUAGAUAUUUAGAGGAAGGCAUUCCUGGCAGAAGGAACAGCAGCAAAACACAGAAGUGGAAAUUAGUAGCAGCAUUAAUGGAGAAUAAUUUGGGGAAUAAGAUAUACAAAUGGAAUAAUAAAAAUAGCAUUAAUUAAACAUUGUGGGAGUCAUUCUGUAAGAUGGCCCCUGGUGAUCUCCGCCUCCUGUUCUUCAUGCCUUAUGUAACCGCUCUCCUUGAGUGUGGUCUGGAAUUACUGACUCACUUUCAAUGCACAGAAUGUAUCAGAAGUAAUGGGAUAUUCCUUCUGAGAAUAGAUUAUAAAAAAAGAGUGUGGCUUCCUUCCUGGCAUUUUCGCUUGCUCUCUCUUUAAUUGUGUGCUCCAAACAAAGCCAGCUGCCAUGUUGUGAGGAAGCCCUGUGUGGAGGACCACAUGGUGAGGA
rnacentral:lncRNA from 10 species